UAAAUAUAUGCAGUUUUCUUCAAUACCGUCAGACCUCAUUGUCCUCAGGUUCAGCAUCUGCAACCAAAUGUGGAUGGAAAAUACAAGUAUUCACAGAAUGCGAAACCCAGGGAGACCAAGGACCAAUUUUUGCUACAUGCGGGUACCACAGGGCUGACUGCAGGACUUGGGCAAAACCUCGGUGAUGCAGGCUAUACUCCACCCACCACAGACAGUGCGCCCCCUUAUGGCCUGCAGCCGGAGUGGACCUCUCUCACCCCACCCUCCAGGAGCCUCCACUGCCAGUCCCUGGCCUGGGUUUUGCCUUCCUCUAAGCCCUACCAUCCUCUCAGACUUCAUCCCACCCUCUCCUGCCCCGAAGCCUCUGGCCUCACUCCCAGAUACCAGAUCACCUGCUACUCGGGCCUCUGAAUAUUGCUGAGGAAAGCCACAGAAACACAAACUUGGAAUGCUAAAAAGUCAAGAUGCUUGACUUCAAAUUACUUCUCAUAAAUACUUUUAUUCAAUUUUAUUAAGUCUUGAGAACAGGCAUUCUCAACCUGGAGUCCAUAGACCCCUAAAACUAAAUGCAUAAUUUUGUGUGUAUGUACUUCUUUCUGGAAGAAGGAUCCAUUGUAUUAGUAAAGAGAUUACA